rnacentral:lncRNA from 1 species
AAAGAGGCAGAAGCUGAGUUUUACAGCUUGUAGAACAAAUGCUCAGCAACGGCAUGCCUCCUGGCUACAGCCACAAGAGCCUUUGCCUUUGUUUCAGUAGAUUUACUAACGUGGGGAUGAGGGUAUGCUUGUGUCCUUACAGAAGAUGAACAAACCAUGUGGGUGCCCUCAAGGUGUGUAUGACCAUGGAAUGGGAGACUGGAAGGACCCAUGGAUCCCAACCAUGGACCUGGUUCCCCAGUAUGAGCCAUGAACCACUUGAAUUUGAAUGCGAAGAUGAAACGAGGACCAACCGGAGUCAUGCUGACAUCAACCCCGAUAACAUGGGGACAGAUCAGGAAAACCACACAGGAAGCUGAGAAACUGCUGGAGUGCCAGGGUUUCACCUUUUGCUGGAACUCAGAGUUGGUGGACAGCCUGUGGAUAAAGUGAAGGUAAAUGCUGUCUAAAAUGAGGAGAGGACACACACAAACACACUGAAAAGAAGUCCGUCUGAAGGUGUAGACAGAGACUCAAGUCAUGUUGCCAAAGACCAAGGAAUGUCAAGGAUAUCUGGGAGUCAGCAGAAGGUAGGAGGAGGCAAAGAAGGAUUCUUCCCUAGUGGAAGCAUGGGAAGCCUUUAGUGGGAGCAUGGUCCUGCUGACAUCUUGAUUUCACGCUUUUAAUUUCCAGAUCUGUGAUAGAACAAAUUUCUGUCAUUUUAUGCCACCCAGUUUGUGAUAAUUUGUUGCAGCCAUCCUGGGAAACGAAUAAUACUUGCGAACUCAUCUAGAUUUUGUCUUUAACAUCCUAUUAUAUAUCCUUUAUCACAUGUCCAUCCAUCUAUGCAAACUUCUAAUUUGUGAUAUUUUUUAGCCUUUGGUAUUAUUUUAAAUAUUUGGUAGUGCAGCAUUGCUGAAGGUCUGAGAAAAUGGUCACUAUUAUCGUUUUUUUUUGAAUGUGAAAUUAUAGUACUGUUACUGCUGUUACUGUAUGGGAAUCCUAGGUUCUUCUUAACUUGGAAGAAGGAAUGCAG